rnacentral:lncRNA from 1 species
GGGGUGGUGGGUGUGGUGGUAUAGGUCGACGGAAAGGAUAAAGAGGGAAGAAAAGAAGAAAUGAGGGGUCGAGUUUUUGUUGAAAGGGCUGUUGAGGGUCAAAAUGCUUGGUUCGGAGAAAGGUUGCGGCUCGGUGAAAUGAGAGGGCCGACGAGGUGGGUUGCUGUGUGGGUGGUUCGAAGGGAGGCUGCUAUGCAAUGGGGUGUGGGGAAGAGUGGGGUUGGCGGUUGGGGAAGGGAGAAGUAAGGGGAUAAGGGUGGUGUGAUGGUUGGAGGUUGGAAAGGGAUGAAGAAAGAAGAAGGGGGAUUGCAUUCGGUAAGGGAAUGAGAAGGCCAAAGAAGGGAACGACGAUGGUGGUCGGAAUGGUGAGCGACGACAAGGGUUUUGGUGUUUGGGGAGCAACGACAAUGGAUGAAAAAGAAGAUAAAAAAGAAUACAAAAAAUAAAAAAAUAAAAUGGAUUAGGGUUUU